rnacentral:lncRNA from 10 species
UUUGAGACGGAGUCUCACUCUGUUGCCCAGGCUGUAGUGCAGUGGCGCGAUCUGCAACCUCCGACUCCUGGGUUGGAGCAAUUCUCCUGCCUCAGCCUCCCAAGUAGCUGGGAUUACAGGUGUGUGCCACCACACCCGGAUAAUUUUUGUAUUUUUAGUAGAGAUGGGGUUUCGCCAUGUUGGCCAGGCUGGUCUCGAAAUCCUGACCUCAUGAUCCACCCACCUCGGCCUCCCAAAGUGCUGGUAUUACAGGCGUGAGCCACCAUGCCCGGCCAAAGCACUUAAACAUUGUUUGUUUUUGUUUUUUUUUCUUACUGCCAGGGAAGACAGAAUCAACAUUGUAUCUUUCACUCACUUCUCACUUCCUUUGCCACGCUGUGAGCUUUCUUGGGUCCAGACUGCGCUGUUUUUCCUUUCCCCAGAAUGUACCAUAGCGGCGGGAAUUUAGUGCUUAGUGUGAAUUUGAGAGCAUAUAGUUCCGUAACACCUUUGUUCUCUAAGGUUCCGAAGGAGCUCACUAAAUACACUAGCCCUUUCCAUGUUUUCUCCUUCACUAGUUUCCGCGCCGCCUCCUCUUCCUCAAAUUCGGCUUGGCUUCUCUAGACUCUACACUUGCCCCCUCAAACCUUACCUUUCUGCCCCCAUCACUGACUCUUCUAUUCUCUUCCCACAACCUUUAAUGCGGGCUGUCUCUCCAUGGCCCAUCCUGCCUCUACCUCUUUUCUAGUUUCAAAUAUAAGUUAUCGG